rnacentral:rRNA from 1 species
GGAUUAGAUACCCUGGUAGUCCACGCUGUAAACGAUGAGUACUAGCUGUUAAAUUUAUUAAUAAUUUAGUAGCGAAGCUAACGCGUUAAGUACUCCGCCUGGGAAGUACGGUCGCAAGACUAAAACUCAAAGGAAUUGACGGGGACCCGCACAAGCGGUGGAGCAUGUGGUUUAAUUCGAUGCAACGCGAAAAACCUUACCUGGUCUUGACAUUUUCAUAGAAGUUUUUAGAAAUAAAAAUAGGCUUGUAUAAGCAUAUGAAGACAGGUGCUGCAUGGCUGUCGUCAGCUCGUGUCG